rnacentral:rRNA from 1 species
UACAGAGGUGGUAAGCGUUGUUCGGAAUUACUGGGCGUAAAGGGCUCGUAGGUGGCCAACUAAGUCAGACGUGAAAUCCCUCGGCUUAACCGGGGAACUGCGUCUGAUACUGGAUGGCUUGAGUUCGGGAGAGGGAUGCGGAAUUCCAGGUGUAGCGGUGAAAUGCGUAGAUAUCUGGAGGAACACCGGUGGCGAAGGCGGCAUCCUGGACCGACACUGACACUGAGGAGCGAAAGCCAGGGGAGCAAACGGG